UACGUAGGUGGCAAGCGUUGUCCGGAAUUAUUGGGCGUAAAGCGCGCGCAGGCGGUCCUUUAAGUCUGAUGUGAAAGCCCACGGCUCAACCGUGGAGGGUCAUUGGAAACUGGGGGACUUGAGUGCAGGAGAGAAGAGUGGAAUUCCACGUGUAGCGGUGAAAUGCGUAGAGAUGUGGAGGAACACCAGUGGCGAAGGCGGCUCUCUGGAACGCAACUGACGCUGAGACGCGAAAGCGUGGGGAGCAAACAGG
rnacentral:rRNA from 1 species